UCUCCGUUGGUGAACCAGCGGAGGGAUCAUUACCGAGUUUACAACUCCCAAACCCCUGUGAACAUACCUAACGUUGCCUCGGCGGGAAAGCCCCGGGCGUUGGCGCAAGCCUCGCACCGGUAUCAGGCGCCCGCCGGAGGAUAACCAAACUCUGAUUUAACGACGUUUCUUCUGAGUGGUACAAGCAAAUAAUCAAAACUUUUAACAACGGAUCUCUUGGUUCUGGCAUCGAUGAAGAACGCAGC
rnacentral:misc_RNA from 1 species